GCAUGUUUUUUAUUCUAUUUUAUUCUAUCAUUUUAUUUUAGCAAUCAUAUUAAUUUAUUGCACUACAAAGAGCUUAAAUUAAAAAAGGUUCAUUUAUUUAAACACAUACUGUAAGUCUUUAUGUCCUUAACCUUCUAAUGAGGAACAUGAAGUUUGUUCAGUGCAGUGACUCAGAGGACGGUGAAGACAAGUCUGAGAGACAGGAAGCAUGGUGGUCCAGUCAUGGAGGAAAGUGGGGGCGGAAGCCAAAAAUACAUCAGACUGCAUCAUAGCAGGCUACCCUUUAGUCAACACUUUGCACAGAUUCUAUAACUCACUAUCGUUACAUGAGGCAUCGUACAGUAGAAGACUGCACAAGCUGUAAAUCAUCUAUCAAUCACUCCUGAAGAAUGCUUUAUCGUUGCCUUGAGGUGCAGCUCAUAUGACAGAAAUACACAGUUACAAACCAAACAAUAGAACCAUGUAUCAGAACUGUUUCUGCACAAAAGAAGGAUUUAAUCCGAAGCUCUUCAUGAUGACAAACCAAGACCUAGUAGUAACUCUGAUGUUAUGCUGCACAGAGUGGAUAUUUGCUUAUGAUUUCAAGGCAGGACAAAUAAAUACUGUCGUUAGAUUGGUGGAUGAAUCACAACACAUGGAAAUGGUGAAAUUUUUACACCCUAGGAGCUUUUAGGACCAUGAUGCAUUAAAAAAAAGUAGUGAAUUCAUGAAACAGCUCCAUAUACAGAAAU